UGAAAAAAAUGGACUUGGUGGGUCUUUGAAUUUAAAUAAAAUAAACAUGUAUAUGCAACACAAAAUAUUUAUAUUCCUUGUGUAAACAUAAUUUAAUUGAUUAGGAUGAAAAUGUUUUGUUUGAAUGUAAAAUGAACACAUUAUUCUCACAUUGAUUAAAAUUGAUUGAAUUGAAUACUUAAAGCAAUAAAAUUGAGUUUGCACACAAAAUGGCACCUCCUGAGCAGAAGGUGGCAGUAACGCUCAAUGAAAAGGACGUCAAUCGCCAUAAAAGAAGAAUAAACAUCGUUUGUUUUGGGCGCCAAAAUGAAGACUCAGCAGCAGUCAGUCAGAAGAACUCUCUCAGACGGACACCAUGUUAUUAAAGUCCAUCAUCCUUGCACACACUCAAAAGCAUUGAUAAAUGCUGAAUUUAAAAGAAUCACUACUGUCUUAUGUUCCUGUGUGUCACCUGGACCUCCAAUCCAAAAACCUGACGAAACUCUUCUAUCAGAAAGGAGGACAGCUAGCAAAAAGACUUGGAACAAUCAAUGAUCAAAUGACAGAAGGCAUGGAUGAAGUCAGCAUCAGUGUGGUCAUUUGAAGACACCACUGUUGGGAUUUGUGCUCUCAAACAACAUGCUUCUUGUGAUGAAGAAGAGGAUCUUUGUAUAGUCCUGGAAGGCAUGAAGGUGUUGCAACAUCGUGCCAUGUUGUUUGAGCUGAUGUAUGCCUUAAACCUGAACUAUCCUGAUCUCUGCUUUAUUUUUGAGGAAAUCCAAAAGAUUUUAAUGGAACUGCAUUGAGCGUAACUUUAACGAACCGUUUCUUUCAGUGAAAGGUUCAGAAAGACUGUGCUGCUCAUUUAUGUUCUUUUUAUUUAUCUGUUUUAAGUGUUUUCUCUUAUUAAAACAUUAACAGUUUGCUGCUCAGAGUUGAUUUUGGAAAUGGUUGUUGUAUUUUGUUUUUGUUGAAUCUUUGAUUAUCAGUUUAUACAAAUGCUGUA